AGAGUUUGAUCAUGGCUCAGGACGAACGCUGGCGGCGUGCCUAAUACAUGCAAGUCGAGCGGAUUGAUGGGAGCUUGCUCCCAUCAGUCAGCGGCGGACGGGUGAGUAACACGUGGGUAACCUACCUGUAAGACUGGGAUAACUCCGGGAAACCGGGGCUAAUACCGGAUAACUCAUUUCCUCGCAUGAGGAAAUGUUGAAAGGUGGCUUUUAGCUAUCACUUACAGAUGGACCCGCGGCGCAUUAGCUAGUUGGUGAGGUAAUGGCUCACCAAGGCGACGAUGCGUAGCCGACCUGAGAGGGUGAUCGGCCACACUGGGACUGAGACACGGCCCAGACUCCUACGGGAGGCAGCAGUAGGGAAUCUUCCGCAAUGGACGAAAGUCUGACGGAGCAACGCCGCGUGAGUGAUGAAGGUUUUCGGAUCGUAAAGCUCUGUUGUUAGGGAAGAACAAGUACCAGAGUAACUGCUCGUACCUUGACGGUACCUAACCAGAAAGCCACGGCUAACUACGUGCCAGCAGCCGCGGUAAUACGUAGGUGGCAAGCGUUAUCCGGAAUUAUUGGGCGUAAAGCGCGCGCAGGCGGUUUCUUAAGUCUGAUGUGAAAGCCCACGGCUCAACCGUGGAGGGGCCUUGGAAACUGGGGG
rnacentral:rRNA from 1 species